GGUCCAAUAGUGUAGUGGUUAUCACACUGGAUUCUGAUAAGUGUCUGAUUAUGGUUGAUUAUUCGGAUUUCCAUUAACCCAGGUUCGAGUCCUGGUUGGACCU